CCCCUAGAUGUUCUGGGCCGCACGCGCGCUACACUGAACAGUUCAACAAGUCUUAACCUUGGCCGAUAGGUCUGGGUAAUCUUUGAACGCUGUUCGUGAUUGGGAUAGACCUUUGCAAUUAUGGGUCUUCAACGAGGAAUUCCUAGUAAACGCAAGUCAUCAGAUUGCAUUGAUUACGUCCCUGCCCUUUGUACACACCGCCCGUCGCACCUACCGAUUGAAUGGUCCGGUGAAAUCUCGGGACGGCGGCUUGGUCGCUUGCGUCCGACUGCUGAAACUUGAUUAAACCAUAUCAUUUAGAGGAAGGUGAAGUCGUAACA
rnacentral:rRNA from 1 species